AAAAAAUUAACAUCAUCCGAUCCCUAGUCGGCAUAGUUUAUGGUUAAGACUACGACGGUAUCUGAUCGUCUUCGAUCCCCUAACUUUCGUUCUUGAUUAAUGAAAACAUCCUUGGCAAAUGCUUUCGCAGUAGUCAGUCUUCAAUAAAUCCAAGAAUUUCACCUCUGACAAUUGAAUACUAAUGCCCCCAACUAUCCCUAUUAAUCAUUACGUCGAUCCUAGAAACCAACAAAAUAAGAUCAAACGUCCUAUUUCAUUAUUCCAUGCUAAUGUAUUCAAGCGUUUGCCUGCUUUAAACACUCUAAUUUUUUCAAAGUAACAGUCCUGAUUCCCCGCAACACCAAAUUAACGGCAUUACGGUUCAUCAGGAAGGAGGAAUCAGUGAGACCAGUACAUACCAGAGGCAUGACCAACCUACUAACCCCGAAAUUCAACUACGAGCUUUUUAACUGCAACAACUUUAAUAUACGCUAUUGGAGCU
rnacentral:rRNA from 1 species